AUGCAGUGCAUAGUGAAGGAAUUCGGACACAACUUCUACACUCAAUUGAACCCAGCUGUCAGCUAUUACCUCAUCUCCUGCUCCAGUAUUUAUGGUGGCUACCUUCCAGAAUUCAUCGCCAGUUCAUUUCCCUCAACGGUGCAGUACCUGUUUGUAUCACUGUGGUACACGUUUGGUGGAGGAACCAGACUGGAUCUUGGAAGUGAUGUCCGUCCCAAACUGACAGUGCUGUCCCCCUCCAUGCAUGAGGGGAAGGCCACACUCCUGUGUCUGGCCAACAAUGGCUUCCCUUCAGGCUGGACUCUGUCCUGGAAGGUGGGCGGCAGCAGCAUCAGCAGCAGCUGGGAGGAGAGCAGGAGCCCCGGGGUGCUGCAGAAGGACGGCCUCUACAGCUGGAGCAGCACCCUGAGGCUCCCUGCAGACCAGUGGGAGAAGCUGGACUCUGUGACCUGUGAGGCCACCCAGGACUCCCAGACUCCAGUCCCAGAGACUCUGUGGAGAAACCAGUGUUCCUAGUCACCACCUGACUGACUGGAACAAUAUUAUUGUGUUUUUGCUUUUACUGAGAUUUCAGCUGCAUUGAUGUUUUAAUCUUCUUUCUUUGUAUGCUAAAAAAAACAUUUUUAUUAGAAGUUACUUGUUUGAUACUUUAUGCAAAAUAAAAAAUACUCUUUGAA